AGUGAACGCUGGCGGUAGGCCUAACACAUGCAAGUCGAACGGCAGCACAGUAAGAGCUUGCUCUUACGGGUGGCGAGUGGCGGACGGGUGAGGAAUACAUCGGCAUCUACUUUUUCGUGGGGGAUAACGUAGGGAAACUUACGCUAAUACCGCAUACGACCUACGGGUGAAAGCAGGGGAUCUUCGGACCUUGCGCGAUUGAAUGAGCCGAUGUCGGAUUAGCUAGUUGGCGGGGUAAAGGCCCACCAAGGCGACGAUACGUAGCUGGUCUGAGAGGAUGAUCAGCCACACUGGAACUGAGACACGGUCCAGACUCCUACGGGAGGCAGCAGUGGGGAAUAUUGGACAAUGGGCGCAAGCCUGAUCCAGCCAUACCGCGUGGGUGAAGAAGGCCUUCGGGUUGUAAAGCCCUUUUGUUGGGAAAGAAAAGCAGCAUGUUAAUACCCCGCUGUUCUGACGGUACCCAAAGAAUAAGCACCGGCUAACUUCGUG
rnacentral:rRNA from 1 species